AAUGCUCAUUUUUCCAGUUUUCUGUACACUUUAUUUCAAUCCAUCUAGUUAUUUAGCAGAUGCUUUUUUUCAAAGCAAUCCAAUCCCAACCAUUGAGAAUAAGGGACUGAGUGUCUUGCUUGAGGUCACUUUGACAUAUAGCCAGAAUACACCAGCAAUCUUUUGACUCUCAGACCAUUUCUCUACCCCUGAGCCACUGUCCCUCUACAAGAAUACCAAAGUGCAUUUAUCUGUGCUAUAAACCAUUACAAUAAUAAAUUAAAAUAAUAUGAUAAGAUGUUAUGAUCAGAUGCAAGUUGGCAUUUGUAUUGCGAUGCAUCAUUUCUAACAUAUUUGCAUCUGCAAAAAACUAUUUAUUUAUAUAUAAUUACUAGUUGAUUCGCUAUACUUUUAUUGUUUAGGGAGUGACCAAUAAUCUGUGACCAAUAUUUUAUAUGUAGAUUGAGUUCUCCUCUCUAAACUGUUUCUCAAGCGCCUUCUCUCAUCACUGCUGCUGUGUGAAUAUGACGCAUCACAAGAACACAGAGACCCGAAGAAAAGCGGAGAUUAAAGUCCUUAAUGUCGAUCACGGAUCAAAUCGAUCCAGCGAAUAUAUCCGUGCUGUUUAAUGCAUUUGAGACUGUCAACUGACAAAUCACAGCAACUUCCCCUGAAAAUUAGUUGGCAACACUGCACGCUGGCUGUUGAGUGAACGUGCUCAGGAAAGUUGGACCAGGCGCCGGAUCAGAGCCGUGAGUCCCAUUGACUGACAGACUGCAACGGUUUGAGUUAAAAAAUCUUUGUUUGUGUUCUACUGAAGAAACAAAGUCACCUACAUCGUGGAUGCCCCGGGGCCCAAGUUGUUAUUGGAGUCCUAGCUGUGAGUUUCAUGUCGUUUUCCAAAAAGUGAGUUAAAACCAUCUAUUGUUGUAAUCUGGCACGUCCACUCCCACCUACCUCUAAAGAUGUCAAGUACUUCCCAUCACUGUCCUU